ACUCCUACGGGAGGCAGCAGUGGGGAAUUUUGCGCAAUGGGGGCAACCCUGAUCCAGCAAUGCCGCGUGAGUGAUGAAGGCCUUAGGGUUGUAAAGCUCUUUCGCCCGCGACGAUUAUGACGGUACCGGAAGAAGAAGCACCGGCUAACUCUGUGCCAGCAGCCGCGGUAAUACAGAGGGUGCAAGCGUUGUUCGGAAUUAUUGGGCGUAAAGGGCGCGUAGGCGGUGCGGUAAGUCCGCAGUGAAAUCUCUGGGCUCAACUCAGAGUCUGCUGUGGAAACUGCCGUGCUUGAGUGUGGGAGAGGUGAGUGGAAUUCCCGGUGUAGCGGUGAAAUGCGUAGAGAUCGGGAGGAACAUCAGUGGCGAAGGCGGCCAUCUGGAUCAACACUGACGCUGAGGCACGAAAGCGUGGGGAGCAAACAGGAUUAGAUACCCUGGUAGUCCACGCCCUAAACGAUGCAUACUUGGUGUGAGCCAUUCAGUUGGUUCGUGCCGGAGUUAACGCGUUAAGUAUGCCGCCUGGGGAGUACGGUCGCAAGGCUGAAACUUAAAGGAAUUGACG
rnacentral:rRNA from 1 species